GAAGGAGAAGCAGUGGAUGUGAACUUCCUGUAAGACUAAAAUUCAGGAGUCAGAGGCGUUGUUUAUGCAACUUUCUGAUGCACUUAAAUUGUGGAGCCCUAUCUAGAGUGUCAAACUGCACUUCUUUUGAAUGGGCUCACUACCUUUGCUC